GAGUUUGAUCCUGGCUCAGGAUGAACGCUGGCGGCGUGCUUAACACAUGCAAGUCGAACGGAGAUGUUGCAGCAGAAGCGAAUAGCUUGCUAUGAGUGGAAACAGUGGCAUCUUAGUGGCGGACGGGUGAGUAACGCGUGGGCAACCUGCCCUGCACUGGGGGAUAACACUUAGAAAUAGGUGCUAAUACCGCAUAAUAAAAUAUAUUGCAUGAUAUAUUUUUGAAAGCUGCGGCGGUGCAGGAUGGGCCCGCGUCUGAUUAGCCAGUUGGCGGGGUAACGGCCCACCAAAGCGACGAUCAGUAGCCGGCCUGAGAGGGUGGACGGCCACAUUGGGACUGAGACACGGCCCAAACUCCUACGGGAGGCAGCAGUGGGGGAUAUUGGACAAUGGGGGGAACCCUGAUCCAGCGACGCCGCGUGAGUGAAGAAGUAUUUCGGUAUGUAAAGCUCUAUCAGCAGGGAAGAAAAGAAUGACGGUACCUGAAUAAGAAGCCCCGGCUAACUACGUGCCAGCAGCCGCGGUAAUACGUAGGGGGCAAGCGUUAUCCGGAUUUACUGGGUGUAAAGGGAGCGCAGACGGCAAUGCAAGCCUGGAGUGAAAGGCGGG
rnacentral:rRNA from 1 species